rnacentral:lncRNA from 1 species
UAGAAGUCGAAUUUCUGAAGAAUCCUAGGAGCAAGCUUCAGGUUAGGAGAACUUGAUCCCGCAGGUACAAGCUUGGAGUAGACACCGACAGGCCGGGCUUCCUUCACUCUACACCUCCACUCUAUCUCUCUCAAUCUAGUAGAAACUAGAAGAUCUAUUUCUACCUUACAUUGAUUGCUAAGCCUAAAAAGAAAUAUUAAUUAGAGAAGAGGUUUUCCUUCGAGGGCACCCCUCAGUCUCUAUGAUAAUUUCUUCAUGUCUUCCAGGGGCCAGGGGAGCCUCGCUUAUAUAGUCCUCCCCUUCUAUGCGUUUUUGGGUCGAUAGCCGAGGUGGUACUAUGUUUUUCUUGAUCUAAUAGGUCGGUGGAAUAUCCCGAGCGAAGGAGUCCUGAAUUGACUCCAGCAGGGGGGCGGGCGCCCAGGCUACCAGGGCGGGCGCCCUGGGCCUGGCCCAGCUUCGCCUCCGCUUCGGUCUCGUGGCUUCUGGAGUCUUCUAGAUGAUGUAAAAUUACGCGGUGCGUUGAUAUCUCUAUGUAAUCCCAACAUGUGGGCCUUUCUUCCUUAUUUCCUGAUAACCCCCUGCAGAAAUAGAUAAACAACAAAACUCGUGGAAUUCUGUCAGAUCAAACCCUAAUUCUAGGUGAUGGUUGCAUAUUGGUCCUUUCUCGUGUUUAUUUGAUAAUUAAAAUUGAUACUUAAGAACCAUCAACAAAUAACCCCAUACAUAGGCUUUGACUCGUCCUCGAGAAAAGGAUGGUUAAGAAUAAUAUCUGGGGUAAACAUUUAAAACAUUCUCUUUAUAAUUGCAGGGUGUUAAAAAUUCCACUGUGUACCAUAGUCAGGGAUGUGUAUGGUUAAGUGUAAAGAUUCUUUCUUUUCAAUCCUGUCACUUGGAGUUUUUGUAUAUUUUUGAAAGAAAGUUAGCAUACCUUUUUGAUCCUCAUAGGUUCUCUCAGAUCACUCAUUAUCUUUUAUAUAUAUAUAUCUCAUUGAGGCUGUUUUAUUUUGCAAAAAUUCUCAAGCAUACUUACUUUGGAUUUAUUGCCUGAUCAAAACGGGAUCCGAGGAGGGAAAUGUCAUACUCUUAGAUCAAAGACUUUGGAAAUUAAAAACUUUGUCAACUCUUGCUGGCAUAUUGCUUAUUAGAGGGACCAUGGGCUAUCAUUUUUUUUCUUUUUCUUUUUUUUCUUUUUUUUAAGUGGAUACCGAGGUACCCCUAAUUCUACUUCCGGACACUUGUCCAUUAUUUCUGCGAGGUUGUCGAGCACUUGCUCCUUUUUAUUUCCUCGAAAUAUCUUCUAUUUUUGCAUAGCCCAUGCCUCUAAUGCAAUAAUACUUCGGAAGAGUGAAUCUUACUGAAAUAAUGUCUUGAUCUUAGGAGCAUGAUAAAUCUCUCAACAAGGGUCUAACUCAUUUUGAACAAACUCAAUACAGAGCAGAUAGCUUUUAUAAUCAUAUUUAAUAUUUCAGUUUUAUCAGGCAUAUAAAACACUGAGGAUGGUAGCUAGGAAUUUCGACAUUUUGAAAUAAAUUCUGCAAGCAACAAUGAUAUCAAGAAUAAGAAACUCAUACUCUACCAUCACAUAUUCCAUCUUGACUUAAGUAACACAGGGUUUUAAAAAAUGAUUUUAUACUAAUUGCAAGUUUUCAGGAAAUAUCACAGAUUGAGAUUAAUCAUGAUUAGAAAUAUUUUAAUCUUUUUAUUUUAUCAUGUCGGGAACAAUAUUCUGCAUAAUCUAAAAUAUAUAUAUGUGUAGAGUAAAGUGUGCAGAGUGUGUACCUGAAUCGUGGAGUGGUGUAGUCGGAAUGUGUUUAGCAUGUCGAGGGAUCUCCCCCAUACUUGUUUUCUGCUUUCUUGCACAAAAAUAAAGUAGAGACACACAAGACAUAAUAAUAAUACUCUUUAUUGAUCUUGAGGCAUUUAUUACACAAGGAAGAACAAAAUUAUUUUUGGCUAUUCUCUCCCGGAUUAGGAGUAGAAUAUUUUUGGGUGAUUCUAAAGAUAGAAAUGUAUGGAUAUAUGUGGAUGGUACUUCCGGAGUAGAAGUAGCAUGUGUGAGUGAACGUGCAAGUGAAUCUUGAUUUAACCACAUGACAAGCUCCUAAGGGUCUACAUAGCUUGACCACACUCAAUGCUCAUAAGCAGUAAAAAGUAAUUGUGUGGCUCGAAGUCUAGCAAGCAUGUAUAUAUGGCUGUGGUAGGAAUUUAAACUCUCAUCAUACAGGAACUCAUCAUGCAACAUUUUAAAGAUUUCCAAAGAUAAAAUUCUCCAGAAUUCUAGCAUCUCUAGAAACAGAUAAACAGCAGCUCAACCUUCCCAUAUCGUAUCCGUUAACAACUUAGAUUUCAGAUCAAGUUUUCAUCCCACAAGUUUAGGUCUAGAGCAAGCUUUAAAUUAUAACAGUUAUGUCUAAACUUGAGAGAGAACUUAAAAUGUGCAAAUUAGGC